rnacentral:rRNA from 1 species
GACAGAGGAGCCAAGCGUUGUCCGGACUGACUGGGCGUAAAGCGCCCGCAGGCGGCCGUGCGCGUGGGGGUGUGAAAGCUCUCGGCUUAACUGAGAGAGGCCAUCCCAUACGGCACGGCUCGAGCCGUCCAGAGGCCGGUGGAAUUGCCGGUGUAGUGGUGAAAUGCGUAGAGAUCGGCAGGAACACCCAGGGGGAAACCAGCCGGCUGGGGAUGUGCGUGACGCUCAGGGGCGAAAGCGUGGGGAGCGAACCGGG